rnacentral:rRNA from 1 species
UACGGAGGAUGCAAGCGUUAUCCGGAAUGAUUGGGCGUAAAGCGUCCGUAGGUGGCUAUUCAAGUCUGCUGUUAAAGCGCAGGGCUUAACCCUGUAAAGGCGGUGGAAACUGGAGAGCUAGAGUGUGGUAGGGGUAGAGGGAAUUCCCGGUGUAGCGGUGAAAUGCGUAGAGAUCGGGAAGAACACCAGUGGCGAAAGCGCUCUACUGGGCCACAACUGACACUGAUGGACGAAAGCUAGGGGAGCGAAUGGG